CCUUUGUACACACCGCCCGUCGC
rnacentral:ncRNA from 5 species